rnacentral:rRNA from 1 species
UAGGGAAUCUUCCACAAUGGACGAAAGUCUGAUGGAGCAACGCCGCGUGAGUGAUGAAGGGUUUCGGCUCGUAAAACUCUGUUGUUGGAGAAGAACGGGUGUCAGAGUAACUGUUGACAUCGUGACGGUAUCCAACCAGAAAGCCACGGCUAACUACGUGCCAGCAGCCGCGGUAAUACGUAGGUGGCAAGCGUUGUCCGGAUUUAUUGGGCGUAAAGCGAGCGCAGGCGGUUUUUUAGGUCUGAUGUGAAAGCCUUCGGCUUAACCGGAGAAGUGCAUCGGAAACCGGGAGACUUGAGUGCAGAAGAGGACAGUGGAACUCCAUGUGUAGCGGUGAAAUGCGUAGAUAUAUGGAAGAACACCAGUGGCGAAGGCGGCUCUCUGGUCUGCAACUGACGCUGAGGCUCGAAAGCAUGGGUAGCGAACAGGAUUAGAUACCCUGGUAGUCCAUGCCGUAAACGAUGAGUGCUAAGUGUUGGGAGGCUUCCGCCUCUCAGUGCUGCAGCUAACGCAUUAAGCACUCCGCCUGGGGGAGUACGACCGCAAGGUUGAAAC